rnacentral:ribozyme from 1 species
GUGGUUUACUUUUGUUUGUCAAACCACUUCUUAAACAUGCCAGUAAGUAUUGACACUGUCAGUUCCAGGCCUGAUAAAUUGUGAGAGAAAA